rnacentral:rRNA from 1 species
GACUUUCGAACGCAUAUUGCAGUCAUGGCCAUUCCAUGACUUCGUUUGUCUGAGCGUCGUUUAAUAAAAUUGUAAUAAUCAAAAGACCAUGAGGUGUUGGACCAUUGUUGUCUGGCUCGUCUGGUUUCAAUUGGUAUACUGAUGUGAUGUAAUGUCACAUUCAGUAUACUUUGCCCACAAUUAUUGCAAAUUUCACACACAAAUUUUUUAUAUUUUGUGUUCUUGUUAGUGUGUGUAGUGUUUCAUUACACUACAUACAGUCAUUGCAGGGCAAUUGGCAUUACAAGCCAAUUCUUAGCGUUCUCUGUUCAAUGAUCAUAAUAAGAACAUCAAGCAAAAUAUUCUAAAAAAAAUUCUGUGCUGUUGAAUAAUUUUGUUGUUAAAUUUCGACCUCAGAUCAAGCGAGAUUACCCCCUGAAUUUAAGC